CAUGCACAGUGGGGUCCCUCGGCCUGGCCUGUGCCCUCUCGCAAUCCAGGACCCCUCAGGGGAUGUUGGAGAGGUGGUUUCAGCCCAAUCCCGCAGGCCAGGCUGAGGGACCCCACUGGUGCACG
rnacentral:pre_miRNA from 1 species